rnacentral:rRNA from 1 species
GCUAAACGCGAAGAACCUUACCAAGGCUUGACAUGCAUCUCUAAACACGUGAAAGCGUGUGACCCUUCGGGGAAUUUGCACAGGUGCUGCAUGGCCGUCGUCAGCUCGUGUCGUGAGAUGUUGGGUUAAGUCCCGCAACGAGCGCAACCCUUGUGACUGGUUGCCAGCACGUAAUGGUGGGAACUCUAGUCAGACUGCCCAGAUCAACUGGGAGGAAGGUGGGGACGACGUCAGGUCAGUAUGGCCCUUACGCCUUGGGCUGCACACGUACUACAAUGCCCAGCACAAUGAGAACUGAUGCCGCGAGGUGGAGGAAAUCUGCAAAACUGGGCUCAGUUCGGAUUGGAGGCUGCAACUCGCCUCCAUGAAGUUGGAAUCGCUAGUAAUGGGGCAUCAUCUACGGCCCCGUGAAUACGUUCCCGGGUCUUGUACACACCG